UCUUCUUCAAAGCAUCCCAUCGCUCUCUCACCUGAAGCAUCUUCAGACGCUCAAACUUAUUCAUUGCGAGUCUCUUCAAAGCAUCCCAUCGCUCUCUCACCUGAAGCAUCUACAGAGGCUCGAACUUCUCAUUUGCGACUCUCUUCAAAGCAUCCCAUCGCUCUCUCACUUGGAGCGUCUAGAGACGCUCUCCCUUGAUCGUUGCGACUCUCUUCAAAGCAUCCCAGAGCUCUCUCACCUGAAGCAUCUACAGGAGCUCAGUCUUUCUUAUUGCGAGUCUCUUCAAAGCAUCCCAGAGCUUCCCUCCUGCAUACGGAUGCUUGGAGUUUCUUGUUGUCCCAAAGUGGAAAGGUUUCCAAAUCUUUCCGAUUUGGAAUUUUUGUCGGAAUUAGGCUCGUGAACUGCGAUGGGCUGAAGAAAUUGGAUGGACUGGGAUCUUUAAAAUCCCUAAGAAGGUUGCACCUACCGCUAUCAUAUGAAAAGGUGGAUCAUCUCCAUGUGAUAGAAGGCCUUGAAAAAUUGGGAUCCCUAGAAGAUGUGAAUAUCUCUGGGCGCAAGCACAUUCAAGUACUAGACCUUUCAAAGUCGGAGCAUCUGAAGUUGUUGUAUGUUGUGGAUUGCAAAAGCUUAGUUGAAAUUCGCUGCCCUAGUAAAUUCCUGAAGACCUUUUAUACGUAUGGGAGCAACUAACUCGAGAAAUUACCAGACUUUAUUAUUGAGGAUUAUGAAGAAUAUUCAGAUUCUAUGGAGGAUGACUAAGAUCUGUUUCUGGAGAUCGUUGAAGUCAUUUACUAAACAAAAAAUAUAGCAGCAACUGGAGGAAGUUGUUUGAGCAAAGUAAUUGUAAUGCUUCAGUGUUAUCUGGCUCGUGAUCAUGAUAUGAAUAUAAAAGGCAGUGAAGGUGCCAUAAACAUGUUCUGCAUUUUCUUAAAGCCAGGGCACUAAUGUCAAGAUGAUGAAUCUCCAUGGAUCUGUAUCAAACUUUGCUCGUCGCUUAACAUGCCAAUGUGAAGAUUGCUAUCUCGGAAGGCAGAUACAUGGCCUUGAUCAGGCUGAAAGUAUUAUCAUCAACGGUCAAAACCAGUACAAAUCAUGAAGCCACUCUUUCCUUGUUUUUCUUCUUGCCUUCAAUUAUCAUCUUGCGAUUUUAUACCUUAACAUCAUUCGCAAUUUAUUACUUCAGUUCGGUCAUUGUUAGGUGAUGACAAUGUCUCCACCCCAGAGGCUUUAAAAGAACAGAGGAUUUCCACUGUAUUGUGGAUAGCAGUGUGAGAUCCAAAACAGAAGUAUGGAGGAAGCCCUUAAAUCAACCUUAUUGCUUUCAUGUUUUUGGGUUAAACAUGACAAGUAAUCAAUGGGUGGAUAGAAAGCUCAAAUCCGAAUGUUUUGCUACAGCUGCCACUGAACAGAAUUGGAAAGUCACUCCUGCAAUAAUUGAGGUUUCAGCCAGAAAUGUGCACUAUUUUUAGCUUGGCUGAUGGCGGGGACAAAAAAUCUGCAGAGCUCGAGUACUACCCUGCUGUUUAUGGCUCUGAAAAGAAGUAGGAGGAGCUGUGCAUGUGUUUUAAUUCUGUGGAGAGCUUAAAUGGUACUGCAUCAGAAGCAAGCAUUUCCAACUACAACUGUAAUCUUGACAAUAAGAAUAACUCAUUGGCAAUAUUAGGGGUGCAAAUUGACUUGGAAGAUACUAGUCAUGUUCUUUUAUCAUCAUUUGCACAAUUGUUAAUGUGUCUCUGAAUCUUGAUGAGAGAAAUCAUGUUCAUUUAUUUUCACCUACACAGAGAAUACCAGAAUGAUGAUGAACACAUAUACCCCAUGUAGAAUUAUGAAAAAUAUUUGCAUGACAACAGCACGACAGAGAUCAGAUUCUGGAGAGCAUCCGUGUUUUCUGGACUCUUGGGGAAACUAGUCGACCACAUGAAUGUGAUGCUUCAGCAUCAUCUGGCUUGUGAUCUUGGUGAGAAAGAAAAUAGAUAAGAAUGCCUUUGAAGUACGUGACAUUGCAUGUCAUUAUACGUCAUCAAUCACGGACAAUGGUGUGAGAUCCAAACCAAAUAUCUGGGAUAUGGAUGCAAGGAGGGACGCUCUUUAAGCCGAUUGCAUUGCUUCUUGUGAUUCUAGGGAUGGGUGUAAGAAGAGGAGGAGGGUGGAAAUCGAGCACAGAGAGAACGGGAAGAGAUUGAGGGGUCCAGCAUCAUCUGGUGGUCUGUUUCUGUCUUCCUUCUGGUGGACGACGAUGGGAUGACUAAUUCGAAAGUGAGAUUCAUGCUCACUGAUUGCUUUGACCCUUGUGCUCCAGCUUGAAUGGAAGGAUCUUCAUGUUGGGUCUUCAUUGCUUCUGGUUGCCAUAUCUUCAGAGUCCAGCUUUCUAGUUGAAUGGAAUUGCUCCUCAUCUCCUUCUGACUGGGGAAAAUGCAAAAGCUUGAGCUGUGAUAAUAGAAGUCCAUUGGUUUCUUCUUUCACCAGGGGUUAGCAAGCUCUGAAACCGGUUACAAACUCUAUGCUAGUCAACUGUUGCCCGCACCUAUGUGAAAUUCAGAGUACAAAGUUGACUGAAUCUGACAGUAAGUGGCUUUUCUUUUAAGUUACCUGAAGAUUUCAGUUCACAAAAAGGUGUCGAAGAAUGACGUUGAGUUGUUCUUGAGAAAUAUCUGGUCGUUGGCCAGUUCAACUAUGAAUUUGAAGAUUGUGUCUCUAGCAGGGAUGGGUUAUGUUUGAUGCAGGGGUGGAGACUGCUUUGGCCAACUUAUUGUUUGUUCCUUAGCUUUUCAACAUUUUUCUUUUCUCAUGUUGGGCAAGAAAGUUGGUCCACGAUGGAGCUAUGCCCUCGAUCGCUGGUGCUGCAUUGUUCCGUUGUUGAGUCUUUCCCUGAUUCGCCUUCAAAACUUCAUCUAUGCUGCUUGGGAAGCUUGAUUGUGGAAUGGUAAGGAAAAAGAUCAAUCUUUGGAGCUUAGUUUGGAGGCUUUAGAUGUUGCCAUCGUAACAUAAGCAACAUUUGUUUUGUCCAAUUUGAUUGUUGCAGAUAAUUAUAUGUCACUGUUCAAAUCUGCUUUUGUUGAACAAGUGUACUAUAUUUUUACAUUAAUACAUAAAAGGUAGUUUGGGGUGUUCAUCCACAAGUUUAAGAGUUGAAGCACGCCGGUUGGUAGAGGAGUUACUGAUUUGGUGUUAAUUCUUAUCCCUAGUAGUUUGGUGCAGUAUGUUGUAAUUGACUUAUGGUGAUGAAGUUGCUGUAAUACUUGGGAUUUGACCAAGUAAAAAAGAAAAAAAGAAAACAAAAGAGAAGGUUGAAAAGUCAACUAAACAAGGGAAGUGGUCGUUGGCUUAAGGGGAGAAAAAAGAGACGCUUAGCUUCCUCUUUAAAAGCUCAUGUAGAAAGAAAAUGAAGGUAAGAGAGAAAGAAAAAGAUCUGAUUUUGGAGAUUGCUAACAUCUCCUACUAAACAAAAAACAUAGCAGCAACUGGAGGAAGUUGUUUGAGCAAAGUAAGUGUAAUGUUUCUGUGUUAUAUGGCUCAUGAUCAUGAAAUGAAAUAAAAAGAUCAGAUUGCCUCCAAAAGGAUAUUUGAUGUCUUCAGUCAAAUAGCACGAGAUUCUUCAUUCUUGACGUGGUAUCGAUCUGCGCUUGUGUAAAUAAAGUCAUGGAAGUGGGUAGUGAAGGUACCAUAGAUGUGUUUGGCAUUUUCUCAAAGCCAGGGCACUAAUGUCAAGAUGAUGAAUCUCCAUGGAUCUGUAUCAAACUUUGUUUGUCGCUUAAUAUGCCAAUGUGAAGGUUGCUCUCUUUGAAGGCAGAUAUAUGACCUUGAUCAGGCUGAAAGUAUUAUCAUCAAGAGUGGAAAUCCAGUACAAAUCAUGUUGCCGCUCUUUCCUUGUUUUGCUUCAUGCCUUUAUAAAUCAUCUUGCAAAUUUGUAUCUUAACAUCAUUGGCAAUCUAUUACUUCAGUUUGGUCAUUGUUUGGUGAUGACGAUGUCUAUGCCCUAGAGGCUUUAGAAGAACAGAGGAUUUCCACUGUAUUGUGGAUAACAGUGUGAGAUCCAAACCAGAAGUAUGGAGAAGUCCUUAAAUCAACCAUAUUGCUUUCAUGUUUUUGGGAUAAACAUGACUAGUAAUCAAUGGGUGGCUAGAAAGGUGAUUUGCUUUAGUCUUUUAAUGUUUGAGAGCUGAUCUAGAUCUCUAAAUGCCAUCUUUUCUUGAACUACAGCUCAAAUCAGAAUGUUUCGUUACAGCUGCCACUGUAUGGAAUUGGUUUCAGCCAGAAAUGUGCACCAUUUUUGGCUAGGCUGAUGGCGGGGACAAAAAAUCUUCAGAGCUCGGGUACUACCCAGCUGUUUAUGGCUCUGAAAUGAAGUGGGAGGAGCUGUGCAUAUGAUUUUUAAUUCUGUGGAGUGUUUAAAUGGUACUGCAUCAGGAGCGAGGACUUCCUACUAAAACUGUAAUCUUGACAUAGGAAUAGCUCACUGGCAAUAUUAGGAGGGCAAAUUGACUUGGAAGAUAGUUGUCAUGUUCUUUUAUUGUCACUUGCACAGUAGUUUGAUGCGUGUCUUUGAAUCCUGACGAGAAAAAUCGCGUUCUUUUAUUAUCAUAUUCAGUUGAGAAUACCCAUCUCACAUUAGUAUUUUCAGUCUAGCAUGGGGCUUUUCAUGUCGAUGUCUUAUUGUUUUCUGUCUUAUUUCAACGAAUCUUGGGGAAAUUGGUCGACCACUUGAAUGUGAUGCUUCAG